rfam:Erwinia sp. Leaf53 contig_8, whole genome shotgun sequence.
CAGGUUUGAAAUCAAGUUACUGAUUUUUAAACAACCUUCCCUGAGUGAUGUAACGAAUUGCUGUGUGUAGUCUUUGCCCAUCCCCUGUGAUGGGCUUUUUUUUGU